AUACCAUGGUGUGUGAAUUGUAUUUGCAAAGCCUUGCAUCUUUGCCAUGCCUUAUAGAGAGAAUUCCAUUCAUGUUGUUGAAAACCAAAUAUUUCAUUAUGAAUUU
rfam:Beta vulgaris subsp. vulgaris Bvchr3_un.sca006.con0020.1, whole genome shotgun sequence.